CUCGGUUGAUUAAUUACUAAUUAUUAAAACAAUCCAAGAAACAAAUUGCACUUUGCUAUUAUAUCAGGGCCAUGGAUGAUUCAAAGUCAUUCAUUCAUUCAUUCAUUCUAAUGUUUGUACGUUGACUGAUGGACGGAACUCUUUGAUUGAUUUCAAAUUUCAAAUAAAAUCAGGUCUAUCCCAUCAGACGCUGAUUUUUUGCUCUGUCUCCACUCCAACAAAAAAAAAAAAAUAAAAAAAAAAUCAAUAUUUAGAGAGAUACUUAUAAUGUCAGAUUGAGGCAAUUAUUGAGCUUUGCUGCUUCAACAUAAAACCAAUCAAUAUCACAAUCAAGUUCAUUAGUGGACAUUUCAUUACAAGUCUUAUUUUGAUUAGGACAUUUCCUUCUGUCCCCUUAGGACAUCCAUCCAUCCAUUAAUUAAAACAAUUCAACCCACCUUUAUUGGGGAUUC
rnacentral:lncRNA from 1 species